CAGAAUCUAUCAUGUGCNCGAGCUCGAGGGCUAAGAGGCCCGCGGGCGCAGGGAAGUCGAAGUAGGGCGAGAUCCCACGCAGAAAUUGCUGGGCGCACCGCCGGGGUGUCUUAAAUCGUAGGAWCCCCCCCGAGCGCACACGCUGGGACCCGAAAGAUGGUGAUCUAUGCCCGGGCAGGACGAAGCCAGGGGAAACCCUGGUGGAGGUCCGCAGCGAUUCUGACGUGCAAAUCGAUCGUCGGACCUGGGUAUAGGGGCGAAAGACUAAUCGAACCGUCUA
rnacentral:rRNA from 1 species